AAUAAAGGUCCAUAGCUCAGUGGU
rnacentral:siRNA from 1 species